UGAGACUUUCAUCAUUCAUUCAUGAGACAACAUUUUGAGUUCUUACAGCAAGCCAAAAAUCAAGCUAAGAGCUAGGGAUUCAGAGAGUAGAACCCUGCCCUAAAGAGUCUCACGGUCUACAGUUGUAUAAAUGAGUAAUUACAGAUGGUACAAUAAUGCUGUAGGGGAGCUCACUACUCUGGGAGCCCUGAGGAAACUGGGACCGCAUAAGAGGUUUGAGAAGAAAGGCUUCCCAGCGAAAUGGUAUUUGAACUGAAUUUAAAGGAUGAGUAGGACGUAGGUUUUCACCUUAGGGAAAGGGUCGCAUUCUCAGGAGAAGCAGCAGCAUCCUUCUCUGGGGGAGUUUGAAAUGAGCUGCAAGACCUCUUCCUCUAAAAUACCAGAUGGGGGAGUUGCCGUCCUGGCUCAGCAGAAAUGAAUCUAACAUCCAUGAGGACUCAGGUUGCAUCCCUGGCCUCACUCAGUGGGUUAAGGAUCCGGCAUUGCCCUGAGCUAUGGUGUAAGUGGAUGAUGCGGUGCAGGCCAGUGGCUACAGCUUCGAUUUGACCCCUGGGAACCUCCAUAUGCCGAGGGUGUGCCCCUGACAAGAUAAAAAAAACAAACAAAUAAAAUACCAGAUUGGGAGUUCCUGCUGUGCCGCAGUGCAUUAAGAAUCCCACUGUAGCACCUUGGGCUGCUGUGGAGCUUCGGGUUGGUGCAGUGUGCUGCAGCAGCUGCUGUGGCUCAGGUGGACCUUCCAUAUGCCACGGGUGUGGCCUUAAAAAAAAAAGAAAGAAAAUAAAAAAAUACCAGAUCCCUGACAGGCGAUGACAGAUGUUUUACUUUAUAUCAACAGGAGAGAAUGUAAGGAAACAAUAAAAAAUUAUUUGUUCCUUUCCAUUUUGCCACAGAGGAGGUUAGCUACAGAAUUCUCGAUUGCCCCAAUUUCAUGUGGCGCUGUCUUAGGUAAGAGUGUAGGGUGAAGAGCCAGAAUAUCCAAAGCAGAGGCUGAGAAGGAAGGUGAGGGCCAACUGAGAGAGCCAAGCUCUUGGACACAAUUCUGCAGACAGCAGGGAGCCUUUUAAGUAGAGAAGUGUCAUGAUCACAUGCAUGUUUUAUAAAGAUAACUGUUGGCAGGAUGGCAGGAUGAGUUGGCCAUGGGGCUAGAGAGACCAGAGACAAGACACUCACCUUGGUGAUAAUUGUAGUCAAAUCUAAAUGUGAUUCAUAUCAUCCAUCCACGGGCUACUGGAAUUUAUUUCAUAUUGGUGCCUGAGAAAUACACCUUGGCAACGGAGAAUGCAGCCCCUGAAAAUGAAUCAUUGGCUGAGUCUAGACCUAGAUCACUGUAGUACUUAUGCGCUCCAAAGACAGGGUGCCCAGAGAUCAAUCCUGGGUCUGCUGCUUCCUCAGUGAGCUAUUAAAAAUUACUGCAUCUCUGCCAGCCUCAAUGUCCUUCUCUGUAAAAUGGGUUAAUGCCUAGUUCCUCGGAAUAUCAUAAGUACUUACCAAGAUAAUCCUUUAAAAGUUCUUAUACCAGACCAUUGUACCUAUCCAGUGACUGUUAGUUAUCUUUGUUACUUUUAUCUUAGUCUUGAUCUUCUUUGAGAGAAAGCUAUUUAAACAAUGGAGACAGCAUAUUAAUUAUCUUUGGCUUUAUCAUGAUGCCCAGUAAACUGUCAAUAAAUUUUUGAAUGUUAAUGUCUCAAUAAGGUACCUUUGUAUUGUAGCAGAAGAUUGGGUCCCACCCACAAAAUGAAGCAUUCUGCAUACAUUCUUACAAGAACCCUACAAAGUGGACACCAUUGUCCUUAUUUUACAGGUGAGAAUCUGGGAAGUUUAGGAAAUGUGUCAAGGCUUGGCUGGGCCAGAAUUUCAGCCCAUAUCUGCUUGCCUCCAAAGUGUGCUUUCCCAGGUUGCCAUUCUGCUGUUCAAGAACUUAUGGUUCUUUUAUACUUGUGAAGCAGGUUCACAAACCUUGAACAGUAUGUGACUGAUUCAUGGUUUUUCCUUGGUGGAUCUCUUUAGACCCACCCAUUCAGUGCGAUUAACAAUUCUUUAUUUUUUUUUCCCCAUAGCUUUUUCUCUUCAGAUUCUCCUUAUCUUCCCCAUAUUUUGCUUCACAAAUCUUAUAUGGAGAAUGCCUGGGAUUUAAAAUCCAGAAAGCCAUGAUGAGUCAAAAGUGGGAGACAGUCAACUGUGAAUCUAAUUCUGUGACUUUUCUCCCCCUUGGAAUAGCUAUUUUCUUAGCUGUACAACAGGGGUGGCUGCACGUUGGCCCCUAAAAUCUGCCCCUCAUUCUUUAGGGGCAAGUUGUGAGAGAUCUGGAGUGCCUGAGAGUGGGAUCCAUACUACAUUAUUAAUUCACCCUGAUAUCUAGUAUUUCCCUUUGAAGACCACUCCAAAUUUCUAGAAGUAGAAGUUAAUUUACCAUCUGACCAUAAACCCUGGGAAUAGGCAGGAAAAUAUGCCUGGCUCCUUGCAACCACCAGAUAAACCAUGCACCUUACUGCAGUAUCAUUUUUUCCUAGUGGUAAAUAAUUUAAAUCAUUCUGAAAAGUUAAAUACAAAUACAUUAAGAAGUCAAUGCCAAAUUCACAUGAUUUUUUUUUAGCUAUGGUUUCAGUGUCUAAGAAUUUCACGUCUGAGGCAGGCCAGUCUGCUACUCCCCCUUCACAUAAGGAAUAUGUUCUCCUCUGCUCCUUAGGAUGAAAAAGUAGAGGAAACCCUGCCAAUAUCCAAGGUUUUAUUCUUAGAUCCAGUCAGAGCAUCAGAACACCAACUGUUGUGCAUGCAUAUCUUACAUUGUUUUGACUUAGAGGACCCCUUGUCUUCUCAAAUUGCUUGCAAUAGUGCUUUCAGUGGAUUGCAUUUUGGUAUCAUGUCCUGGGGAAGUUUUAUUCAUUCAUUCAUUCAUUCAUUCCAGCCGCGCCUGCGGCAUAUGGAAGUUCCCGGGGUAGGGGUCGAAUUGGAGCUGCAGCUGCCAUCCUACACCCCAGUGGCAACCCUGGAUCCUUACUCCGCUAAGCAAGGCCAGGGAUGGAACCUGCAUCUUCAUGGACACUAUUUUGAGUUUUUAACCCAUUGAGCCACAGAGGGAGCUCCCAGAGCGUUAUAAAGUAUGGUCUUACCAUUGAUCACCUAGAUCAGAAUCACCAUAGGAGUAUGUUUAGAAUUCAGACACAAGAUAGCUCUUCUACACUUAGUCAUACUUCUCAACUUCAUGUGCAUAUGAAUCACCUGGAAAUCUUACGAAACUAAGAUUCUGAUGCCUUCUGGAGUGGGGCCUGAGAUCUUGUUCUUCUUAAGCCACGCCAAUAGUGCUGUCAUAAAGACCACACUUGGAGGAGCAAAGACCCAGAGAAUCCAAACUUGGGGUGAUGGGCAUGUGCCCAGGUGAUUCUUAAGCUCGAGAAUCUUUGACCAAGGCCCAAGGGAUAGUAAAUGACUACUCUUAUAAAAGGCGUACUGGAGUACCCCCUGUGGCACAGCUGAAAUGAAUCCAACUAGUAUCUGUAAGGACGUGGGUUCAAUCCUCAGCCUUGCUCAGUGGGUCGGGGAUCUGGCAUUGCCGUGAGCUAUGGUAUAGGUUAAAGAUGUGGCUUGGAUCCUGUGUUGCUGUGGCUGUGGCUGUGGCCGGCAGCUGUAGCUCAGAUUUAAUCCCUAGCCUGGGAACCUCCAUAUACCUCAGGUGCAGCCCUAAAUAGCAAAAAAAAAAAAAAAAAAAAAAAAAG
rnacentral:lncRNA from 1 species